UGUAGCAGCGGGCCGGCGGCCUGGGUAGUACGGAGGGGGCGAGCGGUGUCCGGAUUGAUUGGGCGUAAAGAGCGUGUAGGCGGCCAGGUAGGUCCGUUGUGAAAACUCGAGGCUCAACCGCGAGACGCCGAUGGAAACCAUUUGGCUAGAGUCCGGAAGAGGAGAGUGGAAUUCCUGGUGUAGCGGUGAAAUGCGCAGAUAUCAGGAAGAACACCCGUGGCUAAGGCGGCUCUCUAGUACGGUACUGACGCUGAGACGCGAAAGCGUGGGGAGCGAACAGGAUUAGAUACCCGAGUAGUC
rnacentral:rRNA from 1 species